UACGGAGGGUGCGAGCGUUAAUCGGAAUCACUGGGCGUAAGGCGCGCGUAGGCGGCUUUUCAAGUCAGGGGUGAAAUCCCACGGCCCAACCGUGGAACUGCCUUUGAAACUGUAGAGCUUGAGUGUCGGAGAGGGUGGCGGAAUUCCAGGUGUAGGAGUGAAAUCCGUAGAUAUCUGGAGGAACACCGGUGGCGAAGGCGGCCACCUGGACGACAACUGACGCUGAGGUGCGAAAGCGUGGGUAGCAAACAGG
rnacentral:rRNA from 1 species